rnacentral:misc_RNA from 1 species
GACAGGGGAUACAAGCGUUACUCGGAAUUACUGGGCGUAAAGCGUCUGUAGGCGUUUUGGUAUGUCUGAGGUCAAAUUUCGGGGCUCAACCCCGUCUACGUCUUGGAAACUGCCAGAAUUGAGCAAUGGAGAGGCACCUGGAAUGCCAUGUGUAGGAGUAAAAUCCGUAGAUACAUGGUAGAACGCCAAAAGUGAAGACAGGGUGCUAGCCAUUCGCUGACGCUGAGAGACGAAAGCGUGGGGAGCAAAGGGG